AAAACCCCAGCUUGAAGUGCUGCUAACUACACCUGAGUUAGUCUAAAGUUUUAACGUUAUUCAGGUGUGAUAAUUAUGACUGAUUAGACGAUCGGAAUGCGAGUACAAGUUGUAAUGGUGAAAGUAGACCUUGUGCUACGAUCAGUUGAGACGCUCCACUCGCAAUAUAUUAUUAAUCCAUGACUAUCGUUUUUUUAAAAAACUUUGCGAAUUUUCCGAUAGUGUUGAAAAUUAAUUGCAAGUUGGGGCACUCACAAAAUGCAUUAUUGUGGAGUGAUGCAUAAGCAAAGCUCCGAGUAAGGUUUGAAAAGAUAAUGUAGUACUAACGGUUGGAGACGAUAAGUUAAGCAAUGUCUUGAUUCUCCGGUGUCUGAUGACGAAAUUGAGUUAGUUCAGUGUAGCAUGAUUUAGUGUUCAUUACUAACUAUCAAAGUUCAAAUCUA
rnacentral:misc_RNA from 1 species